AGAUGGCGGCCGGCGAGUGAUUCUCCCUGGGUUCCUUCAGGGCUGAGGAGACGCCGGGGCGGGGGACCCGCUCGUGCAGCCUGCUGGCCUCUUCACCCCCGCCCCCGGAGGCCUCCUCUUUCCCGUCCUCCACCUCGGGGGCGGGCCAGCAUCCUCGGACACCAUGUCAGACUCUGAGGAGGAGAGCCAGGACCGGCAACUGAAAAUCGUCGUGCUGGGGGACGGCACCUCCGGGAAGACUUCCUUAGCUACGUGUUUUGCUCAAGAGACAUUUGGGAAACAGUACAAGCAGACUAUAGGACUGGAUUUCUUUUUGAGAAGGAUUACCUUACCAGGGAAUCCUGUUGGUAUAUGAUAUUACAAACUACCAAAGCUUUGAGAAUUUGGAAGAUUGGUAUUCUGUGGUGAAGACAGUAAGCGAAGAGUCAGAAACUCAGCCCCUGGUUGCUUUAGUAGGCAAUAAAAUUGACUUGGAGCAUAUGCGAACAGUAAAACCUGAUAAACACUUACGAUUUUGCCAGGAAAAUGGUUUUAGUAGCCACUUUGUUUCAGCCAAGACGGGAGACUCUGGGAUCUGACACCUCUUCCGACCUCCACAGACACCAGGUCUUCCUGUGUUUUCAGAAAGUUGCGGCAGAAAUCCUGGGAAUCAAGUUAAACAAAGCAGAAAUAGAACAGUCACAGCCAUGUCAAGAACUGUUAAUCCACCUCGGAGCUCCAUGUGUGCAGUUCAGUGAGCACACACUGUAUUGAUAGUUCUGGCUGCUCUUCCCUGGAUUGGGCCCAAGCUGCCUAGGAACAUGUUUUAUCAGUGACUGUCUCUGUAGUCAGCUCACACUUCCUCCUGCUCUGCUCCU
rnacentral:lncRNA from 1 species